rnacentral:rRNA from 1 species
AGUGAACGCUGGCGGUAGGCCUAACACAUGCAAGUCGAACGGCAGCACAGUAAGAGCUUGCUCUUACGGGUGGCGAGUGGCGGACGGGUGAGGAAUACAUCGGAAUCUACUUUUUCGUGGGGGAUAACGUAGGGAAACUUACGCUAAUACCGCAUACGACCUACGGGUGAAAGCAGGGGAUCUUCGGACCUUGCGCGAUUGAAUGAGCCGAUGUCGGAUUAGCUAGUUGGCGGGGUAAAGGCCCACCAAGGCGACGAUCCGUAGCUGGUCUGAGAGGAUGAACAGCCAAAGUGGAAACGGAGAAACGGUCAAAACGCCAAGGGGAGAAGGAGGGGGGAAAUAUGGGAAAAGGGGGGAAGGCUGAUCCAACAAUGACGGGGGGGGGAAGAAAGCCUUGGGGGUGGAAAGCCCUUUUUGGGGGAAAGAAAAGGAGCAGGUUAAAGCCCCGGUGUUCAGAGGGUACCCAAAAAAAAAGCACCGGCUAAAUUUG